rnacentral:misc_RNA from 1 species
GAUGAAGAACGCAGCGAAAUGCGAUAAGUAAUGUGAAUUGCAGAAUUCAGUGAAUCAUCGAAUCUUUGAACGCACCUUGCACCCUUUGGCAUUCUGAAGGGUAUGCUCGUUUGAGUGUCAUUGUACUCUCACACUCCCGAUCUUUGCAUUGGGAGCAGUGGACUUGGGUUUGCUGCUUCACCGUCGCUUACCUCAAAUAGGUUAGUGCAACUCUUGGUUGGACAUAGUACGGCGUGAUAAGUGUUCUUCGCCGGUGCCUCGCAAAGAGGGUGGCCGAUCGGGAUGUUGUGCUCCAAACCGUCUUCGGACAAUCUCUGACGACUUGACCUCAAAUCGAGUAAGACUACCCGCUGAACUUAAGCAUAUCAAUAAGCGGAAGA